UAGGGAAUCUUCGGCAAUGGACGAAAGUCUGACCGAGCAACGCCGCGUGAGUGAAGAAGGUUUUCGGAUCGUAAAGCUCUGUUGUAAGUCAAGAACGUGUGUGAGAGUGGAAAGUUCACACAGUGACGGUAGCUUACCAGAAAGGGACGGCUAACUACGUGCCAGCAGCCGCGGUAAUACGUAGGUCCCGAGCGUUGUCCGGAUUUAUUGGGCGUAAAGGGAGCGCAGGCGGUCAGGAAAGUCUGGAGUAAAAGGCUAUGGCUCAACCAUAGUGUGCUCUGGAAACUGUCUGACUUGAGUGCAGAAGGGGAGAGUGGAAUUCCAUGUGUAGCGGUGAAAUGCGUAGAUAUAUGGAGGAACACCAGUGGCGAAAGCGGCUCUCUGGUCUGUCACUGACGCUGAGGCUCGAAAGCGUGGGUAGCGAACAGGAUUAGAUACCCUGGUAGUCCACGCCGUAAACGAUGAGUGCUAGGUGUUAGGCCCUUUCCGGGGCUUAGUGCCGGAGCUAACGCAAUAAGCACUCCGCCUGGGGAGUACGACCGCAAGGUUG
rnacentral:rRNA from 1 species